rnacentral:rRNA from 1 species
UACGGGAGGCAGUGGGGAAUAUUGCACAAUGGGCGCAAGCCUGAUGCAGCCAUGCCGCGUGUAUGAAGAAGGCCUUCGGGUUGUAAAGUACUUUCAGUCGUGAGGAAGGUGUUAAGGUUAAUAACCUUAGCAAUUGACGUUAGCGACAGAAGAAGCACCGGCUAACUCCGUGCCAGCAGCCGCGGUAAUACGGAGGGUGCGAGCGUUAAUCGGAAUUACUGGGCGUAAAGGGCACGCAGGCGGUUAAUUAAGUUGGAUGUGAAAUCCCCGGGCUUAACCUGGGAAUGGCAUUCAAGACUGGUUAGCUAGAGUCUUGUAGAGGGGGUAGAAUUCCAUGUGUAGCGGUGAAAUGCGUAGAGAUGUGGAGGAAUACCGGUGGCGAAGGCGGCCCCUGGACAAAGACUGACGCUCAUGUGCGAAAGCGUGGGGAGCAAACAGGGAUUAGAUACC